ACAAGCUGUGAAGGGCACAUGGUGGAUGCCUUGGCAUCAAGAGCCGAUGAAGGACGUAGGAGCCUGCGAUAAGCCCUGGGGAGUUGGCAACCGAGCUGUGAUCCGGGGGUGUCCGAAUGGGGGAACCCAGCACGAGUCAUGUCGUGUUACCCGCGCCUGAAUGUAUAGGGUGUGUGGAGGGAACGUGGGGAAGUGAAACAUCUCAGUACCCACAGGAAGAGAAAACAAUAGUGAUUCCGAGAGUAGUGGCGAGCGAAAUCGGAGGAGGCUAAACCUCGUGCGUGUGAUACCCGGCAGGGGUUGCGUGCGGGGGGUUGUGGGAGCAUAUGGAGGGGUCUGCCGGCUCCUUGCACAGUGAGAAAGUCGUUGUGAAGUUGAAGUCCGCUGGAAAGUGGUGCCGUAGAGGGUGAGAGCCCCGUAAGUGUAAGCGACGACCUGUGAUGUGUUUUCCCAAGUAACACGGAACUCCUGAAAUUCUGUGUGAAUCUGGCGGGACCACCCGUUAAGCCUAAAUACUCCUUGAUGACCGAUAGCGGACUAGUACCGUGAGGGAAAGGUGAAAAGUACCCCUGGCGGGGAGUGAAAUAGUACCUGAAACCGUGUGCCUACAAUCCGUCGGAGCCCGGCUGCCCUUUGUGGGUGUUGGGGUGACGGCGUGCCUUUUGAAGAAUGAGCCUGCGAGUUUGCGUUGUGUUGCGAGGUUAACCCGUGUGGGGGAGCCGUAGCGAAAGCGAGUCCUAAUAGGGCGGUUGAGUAGCACGAUCAAGACCCGAAGCGGAGUGAUCUAUCCAUGGGCAGGUUGAAGCGCGGGUAAGACCGCGUGGAGGACCGAACCCACUUAGGUUGAAAACUGAGGGGAUGACCUGUGGAUAGGGGUGAAAGGCCAAUCAAACUCCGUGAUAGCUGGUUCUCCCCGAAAUGCAUUUAGGUGCAGCGUCGCGUGUUUCUUACCGGAGGUAGAGCACUGGAUGGUCUAGGGGGCCCACAAGCUUACCGAAAUCAGCCAAACUCCGAAUGCCGGUAAGUGAGAGCGCGGCAGUGAGACUGCGGGGGAUAAGCUCCGUAGUCGAGAGGGAAACAGCCCAGACCAUCAGCUAAGGCCCCUAAGCGGUGACUAAGUGGAAAAGGAUGUGGAGUCGCAGUGACAACCAGGAGGUUGGCUUGGAAGCAGCCACCCUUGAAAGAGUGCGUAAUAGCUCACUGGUCAAGUGAUUCCGCGCCGACAAUGUAGCGGGGCUCAAGUCAUCCGCCGAAGCUAUGGCAUUCACGCGUGUAUCUAGCCGCCACCUCGUGUGGUUGGUUCAGGUGUGUGGAUGGGUAGGGGAGCGUCGUGUCGCGUGUGAAGUUCCGGAGUGAUCCAGGGGUGGAUGCGACACGAGUGAGAAUGCAGGCAUGAGUAGCGAAUCACGGGUGAGAAACCCGUGCGCCGAAUGAUCAAGGGUUCCAGGGUCAAGCUAAUCUGCCCUGGGUAAGUCGGGACCUAAGGCGAGGCCGACAGGCGUAGUCGAUGGACAACGGGUUGAUAUUCCCGUACCGGCAACGUAGCGCCCAUGACGAACCUGGUGAUGCUAACCAUCCGAAGCGCAGGUUGACCGAUCCCUUCGGGGUGAGGCUCUUGUGUGGAGCGUGGGACCCGAGCUGGUAGUAGUCAAGCGAUGGGGUGACGCAGGAAGGUAGCCCAACCACGCCGAUGGUUGUUGCGUGGGUAAGCAGGUAGGGGGCGGUCUAGGCAAAUCCGGACCGCUGUGUUUGAUCACGACCCUGAGAUGUGAUGCCGAGCCCGUAUGGGCGAAGUGGGUGAUCCUAUGCUGUCGAGAAAAACCUCUAGCGAGCUAUGCGCCGCCCGUACCCCAAACCGACUCAGGUGAUCAGGUAGAGAAUACCAAGGCGAUCGAGCGAACCAUGGUUAAGGAACUCGGCAAAAUGCCCCCGUAACUUCGGGAGAAGGGGGGCCGGAUCCGUGACCACCCUUGCGGUGGAAAGCGGUGAUGGCCGCAGAGACCAGGCCCAAGCGACUGUUUACUAAAAACACAGGUCCGUGCGAAGUUGUAAGACGAUGUAUACGGACUGACUCCUGCCCGGUGCUGGAAGGUUAAGGGGACCUGUCAGGGUAGUGAUACCCGAAGCGGAGAACUUAAGCCCCAGUAAACGGCGGUGGUAACUAUAACCAUCCUAAGGUAGCGAAAUUCCUUGUCGGGUAAGUUCCGACCUGCACGAAUGGAGUAACGA
rnacentral:rRNA from 1 species